AGUGGCGGACGGGUGAGUAACGCGUGAGAAUCUACCUUCAGGACGGGGACAACAGCUGGAAACGGCUGCUAAUACCCGAUAUGCCGAAAGGUGAAAAGUUUUUUCGCCUGGAGAGGAGCUCGCGUCCGAUUAGCUAGUUGGUGAGGUAAAAGCUUACCAAGGCGACGAUCGGUAGCUGGUCUGAGAGGAUGAGCAGCCACACUGGAACUGAGACACGGUCCAGACUCCUACGGGAGGCAGCAGUGGGAAUUUUCCGCAAUGGGCGAAAGCCUGACGGAGCAACGCCGCGUGGGGGAAGAAGGUUUUUGGAUUGUAAACCCCUUUUCUCAAGGAAGAACAAAAUGACGGUACUUGAGGAAUCAGCCUCGGCUAACUCCGUGCCAGCAGCCGCGGUAAUACGGAGGAGGCAAGCGUUAUCCGGAAUUAUUGGGCGUAAAGCGUUCGUAGGCGGCUGUUCAAGUCUGCUGUCAAAGACCGAGGCUCAACCUCGGGUAGGCAGUGGAAACUGGAUAGCUAGAGGUCGGUAGGGGCAGAGGGAAUUCCCAGUGUAGCGGUGAAAUGCGUAGAUAUUGGGAAGAACACCGGUGGCGAAAGCGCUCUGCUGGGCCGAACCUGACGCUGAGGGACGAAAGCUAGGGGAGCGAAUGGGAUUAGAUACCCC
rnacentral:rRNA from 1 species